GACGAACGCUGGCGGCGUGCUUAACACAUGCAAGUCGAGCGACGCCCAUCCUUCGGGGUGGUGCCCUAGCGGCGAACGGGUGAGUAACACGUGGGCAACCUGCCCUCAGCUCUGGGAUAACUCCCAGAAAUUGGUUCUAUUACCGGAUGUAACCGCUGACCGCAUGGUCUGGUGGUGGAAAGAUUCAUCGGCUGAGGAUGGGCCCGCGGCCUAUCAGCUUGUUGGUGGGGUAAUGGCCCACCAAGGCGACGAAGGGUAGCCGUCCUGAGAAGGUGACCGGCCACACUGGGACUGAGAGACGGCGCAGACUGCUACGGGAGGCAGCAGUGGGGAAUAUGGCGCAGUGGGGGAAAGCGUGAGGCAGAGACGCCGCGUGAGGGAUGACGGUCUUCGGGUUAAAAACCUCUUUCAGUAGGGACGAAGCGAAAGUGACGGUACCUAAAGAAGAAGCACCGGCCAACUACGUG
rnacentral:rRNA from 1 species